CAGUCGCCGCGGGAAUACGUAGGGUGCGAGCGUUAAUCGGAAUUACUGGGCGUAAAGCGUGCGCAGGCGGUUGUGUAAGACAGGUGUGAAAUCCCCGGGCUUAACCUGGGAACUGCGCUUGUGACUGCACAGCUAGAGUGCGGCAGAGGGGGAUGGAAUUCCGCGUGUAGCAGUGAAAUGCGUAGAUAUGCGGAGGAACACCGAUGGCGAAGGCAAUCCCCUGGGCCUGCACUGACGCUCAUGCACGAAAGCGUGGGGAGCAAACAGGAUUAGAUACCCCCGUAGUCCCUGUCUCUUAUAC
rnacentral:rRNA from 1 species